UGGUGGUCAACAGAGGGAGCAAGACCGCGAGGUGGAGCAAAUCCCUAAAAGCCAUCCCAGUUCGGAUUGCAGGCUGCAACCCGCCUGUAUGAAGUUGGAAUCGCUAGUAAUCGCGGAUCAGCAUGCCGCGGUGAAUACGUUCCCGGGCCUUGUACACACCGCCCGUCACACCAUGAGAGUCGGGAACACCCGAAGUCCGUAGCCUAACCGCAAGGGGGGCGCGGCCGAAGGUGGGUUCGAUAAUUGGGGUGAAGUCGUAACAAGGUACC
rnacentral:rRNA from 1 species